rnacentral:lncRNA from 1 species
GAAAAUUCAUGCUGAAAUACCAACAACUUGGAACAGAGACAUCAUCUCAGUCAUACCUGUAGCAUCACCAGGCUCUACGAGACAAAGAGAAGAGCUACAGGAAGAAAUUUAAAAUCUAAGAAGUUCCAACAGUGCUGGUUUCAACAAACUCUAUCCUAGGGCAGAAACCCUGGGAGCAUAAUGAUUUUAAUUGCCUAGAAGCAUAUUAAUGGAAUUAUAUUAAUAAUUCCACUCAGCCCAUCAGGUAUAAUAUGAAAAUCCUAAUAAAUGCCUCCUGACUGUGAAUUUGCCAUUUUGCUGUGCCAAAUUCCUUACUGGUGUAGGCAAUUGGUUUCCAUUUCUCCCCUCAGAUAUGUCACAUACUCCUGAUACCUUGGGGCCCUACUCAGUGCCUCAACCACCCUUCUUCAGGACCAAGCAAGCAAAGAAAAAGAAUCAAGCUGCUCCCAAAUGUCACUGCUAAACAUCACUCCAGAACUUUAACAAAGUCAUUUUCUUUAAAAUUACCCAUCAUUAAAAGUGGCUGUUGGGGUUUAUCCUGAUUAGCCAGCUGUGCUGCAGAAGCCUGGUGCUACCCCAGCCUACUCCCAGCUGCCUCCUCCCCAAGAUAACAUUAACUACAUGAAAGUCUUCGCCAGACUUUCUGUAACUGUUAGUAAUUUUCAGUGCUUUUCUCCACCCAGUGUUUGUCUGAGCAGAGGACGGCAGGGAGAUGCCAGAUUAGAGCCAGCAGAAGCCUGCUACUAUCCCUGUUGUAUGCAUUAA